UAUCAUUUUUUCAGCUAUACAUAUAUAUCACAUGCUAGUCAACUGUCAGUCAAUUGUAGUCACGUGGGAAAAGUAGCAGAUAUGAUCAUCUUCCACCAUAUAUGCAUGAUCCUAUCCACAAAUUUUUUCUUUUUUCUCUUCUAUAAAUUCUGUUCAUUCCCCUCUCUCUCUCUAUAUAUAUUAUAUUUAAUCACCUACUAGCUAGGAAUGCUUUUAUAUUUAUAUUUUUGUUGAGUGGUCGGUACCACUGUGCUCUUAACACUCACUCAAAGAGAUCAUCAAGGUACUUGUUUUAGUCUAUGCUGCUGAUCAUUUGUUUCUCUUCUUAAUUAAUAGCCAUGUAGAUAUAUUUUUGUAUAAUAGAUGGAUUAAUAUGAUUAUAUGUUCACUACUUUUCAGAUCAUAGGAAGAGUAAAUGCUUUCGUUUUUGUUUAAGAAAUGGGUGAGUGGAUUCCAUGCUUUUCUCAACUAAUCAGUCUUUCUGCAGAAUAUUAUUUCUUAGGUUCGUUGUCUGUUCGACCUUGAAAACCCUAAUUUUUAUAUAUUCAUCUUGAACAUUUAAAUAAUAUGUAUAUAUAUAUUUUUCUGUAAAAUUCAUGUAAAUGAGAAAUAACAAGCCCCCAUUCAAAAUAAAGAACACUACAUGAAUUAUUUUGAAAGACAAUAAACUUCGCGAAUAAUAUAAUUUCAACGCAUUAUAAGCACACAAUUUCAGCAAGGAUGAUGAUAAUUAAUUAUUAGAAAAAUUAAAAUUCCAGUCAAAUAUAUUAAUAAUAUAAACUUGGAAACAUUACAUUAAAAACUAAUCAAUCUUAAUUAAUCAUUAAUUGAUGACACAGAACACGGCAUGUUGUAAGGAUCUUUAUUCAGUCAAGCUAUAAUCCUCAAAUUAAACUCUCUCUCUCUCUAUAUAUAUACAGGUAUAUAUUUGAAUAUAAUUGUGUUAGAGAGAUGACCUCUAAUGAUGAAUUGAUAUAUGAAUUGUGUUAGGAGGUUGAUGACAUUUUGUUAUUUUCUUCUUUUUUAACUUGUUAGUGAACUUUUCCCUUAUUUUUGUUAUUUAGAUGCAUUAUAGUGCUAUAAUUUUAUGUACGCAAACAUUUUUAUUUUCUUUCUCUACAUAGUCGCAUGAUAUCUAAACUCUUCUUAAAAUUGUUUAUUUAUCAUCAAAAUAUACAGUCUAAAUGUAUAUGUCGACGUGCUAGCUAGCUAGUGUAAAAGUUAUUUUUUUUUUUCAGAAAAAAAAUACAAAUAGAUAUAAUGCUUAUUUAAGUACCACUACAUGUAUAUUAAUAACAUCUUAAAUAAAAUAAACUAUAUAAAUUUAUAUUAUAUAAUAUUUAAAUGUUCCUUAAAUUUAACCGUUUUAAUAUAUUAUUAAUUUUCUAAAAUAUUAAAAUUUAUAUAUAUUAUCUAGUAUAAAUAUGUAUCUUUUGUUAUCAAAUGAUUGUAAAUUUGUGGUAUAUGCAUCAAAACAUUAAUAUAGAAGGUAGAUCUUUCAAGGUCGACCCUACAACGAAUCCACGAUUUAAGCAAGAGAGACUAAUUAUUUGACAGAACUUUGCAUGGAUUUGACACCCAAAGGUUCGCAUGAUCAUAUAGAUUCCAGCAUUUCCGAUCAGGGCCAGGUAGGCGAGGCCCAAUUCUAGUGAGAGCUACCUGCCGCACAAAAUCGUACUAUUGACAGUGACAGGUGAGGCGUGUGCCACCGUUCGGAGAGAGGAAUGUCAGAAUAGUAGUGUCCACUAAAAAAAGUAAUUUGGUUUUUGUUGUGUGUGUGUCCAAGACCUGACAGAUCUAGGGGACAAGUCGCUAGAUAUCAUGGGAUUGUGUUAGAGAUGUCCCACAGAGGCGACCUCCGAGAUUGUGAAUUGUCCCAAACACUCUUUCAUAUUAUGUUUCUAGAUGAUCCCUCUCUACUAUAAAUAUGGUAUUUUUUGUCAGUUUGCAGCUGAUAUAUAUUUUUUUAGUGUCGGUCGUUAAACUGACGUAUAUACCGUACACGCAAAACACUACAUUAUUUAGAGUCAAUUUCAACUGUCAGUACCAAAAAUUAGCGAUCGUUGAAAGCCAAUGCAAAUAGUAUAAAAGUCAAAUUUUACAGCAUCGGUUUUGUACUUAUACACAAAAAAAUAGUUCAAGAUAUUCAUCUCGAGGUCACACCUAAAUCUAAAAUAAAUACCCAAAAUUUAAUGUUCACUUUAAUUUUACAGAUCUAAAAUAAAAAUAUACAAAUACUAUACAAAUACUAUACAAAUACACAUACAAAGAAAAUCUAAAAUAAAUCCAAAUACAAAACACAACAGCCAUAGUCAUGAGGUCGAAACCCAAAACAAAAUUGUGGUCAUGCUCUUCCUCUUCCUUCCCAACUAAGAAAUCUGUACAAAAAAAAUGUUUCACCCACAAGAGAGAAAGAAAGAGAGAGCACAAAAAACUUAGAAUGGUGACGCAAACAUGGUGUCGAGAUGAAGGAGAAGGGGAGAGGCCAUUCAUGGCCCAUAAUUUGUUCAUCACCGAGUGGGUGGCAGAGCUGGUGUCAAGAUGAGAUAGAGAGAGAGAAGAAGAGGCACACGACUGGACGAUUAUAGGAGGCGGCGCAUCACUGGGAUGAUUGGAGGAGGCAGUGCACGGUUGGGGUGGUCGAUUGUCAAGAGAGAGAGAGAGAGAGAAAGAGGGUGCGGUUGAUUGCGUUUUAGGUUUAGGUUUAUAUCAGUUUAUAUAUGUAGGGUUUUAUGUGUCAAUCGAGCCUUUAAUGAAGUGGGCUCUUUUUCUUUUAUUUAAUCUGUCGAUUUCUAACUAACGUUAGGUUUCCUCUGUUAUAAACUGAAGUAAAUGUCAAUAUGUCAUUUUUAGACCGACAAAAAAUGUUGUCAGUUCCAAACUGACGAAAAUUUUUAAUAUGGUUUAUUUUACGUUGGUUUUGAGCA